ACUAUUGAUAAUCUAACUUCUGAAUUAUCACAGGUGCACGCUGAAGGCGGAAAUGAAGCAUGAUCUGGCUUGCAUCUGGUCAUGAAGAAAUUGCUGACACGUUAGUUGCAGUCCACCUCCACCAACAGGGUGGAAAACAAAGAUCGCCAUUCCGAUUAGCUGCUAUCUCCCAGUUCAAGCACUUUUGUGUCUGGACACUGGUUCCUGUGGAUGGGGUGUUACAAGCUUUACUGUCUGAUAUAGAAGUGAUGAGCAUCCAUAAGGACACAUGCCAGAAAGGGAGUCUCUUUGGGAUGACAAACCCUCAUCACCUCAUGAGGAUACAAUGGUUGACGAAUGGUUCUCAAGCACAUCGAAACUUCCAACAAAUAAUUCAUGAAAAAGCCAGUCAGUGCUAGCACCAGGAAUUGAACGUGGGCCAUCCUGCUAGCAGUCAGAGAUGUUCAGUGGUGUAGCCACGAGGGGGCUAGGGGGUCUCGAGCCCCCCCUACCUGCCACGGACCGACCCACACAAAUCGUGCAAAUCCGAGAACAUAAUAUAUGGGGGGGGGGGACCAGUGUGACUAUCGCGAAAGUUCUUGCAGUUCAUGGCGUCUAUCUAAGAAGCAUUCUUGAAUGGUUUUCAAAGUAUAUGAGCUUUUCAAAAUACUUCCAAUCUCGUGACACCACUUCAUUGGUCAUGACAGCCUAUACAUGUAAUCGUACUGUGAACGUCUAAAUCAACUAUUUUCGUUCCCUUUUUUAAUCCUCAGUUUGAAGUGUGCACAAGUAUGUGUGUGUUGUCGACACAGGAUCAGC